GGGACCAGAGACUGGGAGGACCUGGGCAGGGGGAACAAGGUUGGGAAUCGCAGGCAGGAGUUUGGAAGCUAGCACAGGGAGAGGGCUGUGCAGGAGCAGUCACCUUUGGGCAGGUGAGGGGAAGGGGUUACUUGUAGCUCAACUGUAGCAUGUGCUGGGAAGGGCAGCUCCAGCCUGUGUCUGUGGUGGUGGCUGUAGUUUGUGUCGUCUGUCUUUGGUGUCUUAGAGCUUUCUCGGGUCUUGAUGUCAUCUUUGUUCUUUUGGACCCAGUUGUGCCUCUCGUGCACCAUCGCUAGGGCCCGGAACACCUGUAUUCACCAGCAUAUUUGCCAAUCGGGAGCUUCUCGUCUUGCGUAACAACACGAAAGCACAGAUCGGUCCUGCAUCUCAGGAGUUUCUUAAGGUCUUCUUGCGUGACGUAGUCCCCGAGCGCAUCUCCAGUUCUCUGGCCAUUGACUUUCUCAGACUGGGACUUCUUCCCCGCAUCCUUACGUUCUCAGGUCUUGAAGCCGGGCUUCUCGCACAUCCAUCCUCUCGGUUUUGACUAUAAACUCUUGUAACGGUCAGUUACGCUGAACUCAUUCCCGGGGCUGCUGUAGAGCCGCCUCCCCUCAGCAUCGCUUUCUCUUGAGCGGUCUCGCCCGACAGUGUUGGAGAGCGGAGCUGUUCCGUUCACCGAGAGUGUUUUCAUAUAGUUUGUAGGGUCGUGUGGUGUCUCAGUCUGCACGUGUGUGUUUGGCUUGGAGCUGCUCUUCCCAGGGCUGUCAAGGACCGGCGGAGGAGAGUCUGGGAUGUGUUUUGCUAAGGCUGGACCGUUCUGGCCAAGGUUGUAUGGUCAUCUUGGACCAAGUGGCCACUGUCAAGAUGGGUUGAUAGUCACUUCUGUGGUGUUCAAUGGAGAUGACUUAAGCCUUCUGGCAGAUUCUGUUUAGUUGUACUGAGGCAGAGUGAACCUGAAAGAUGUUAAGACUUGUCUGGGUGGAGUUAAAAGUUUGGGGUUGUGGCUUUUGGUUUUUUUUGCUGCCUGUAGUUGUGUUCUAGAUGUUAUUAAAUGGGAACAAGGUCUAUGGAAGUGGAAAGCUAAGGAGCAGCCUCCUGGUGACUUGUGUCAUACUUUUUCAGAUGUUGGGUGAAAGGAGGAGCACCGAACAAAUGAGGGAGGAGAGUGGAAGAUGGAAGCAGUGAGGUGUUGCCCAGGCCUCAUAGCGGCAGAGACAAAUGGCAGAAGGGUCAGGGUGCCACACCUGGGUCAAGCUCUAACGAACAACCUAUGGGACAGAAGUGCCAGGAUCUGAUCUCUGAGGAGCCCAAGGCUAAGAGGGGAUCCAUCAGCACAUAGGGCCCCUCUCUGAGAAGGAGUCUGGAAAGCAAGGGAGUCCGGUCCGAACCUCAGGGCUCAGCAGGAGGCUCAGGCUUCUCCUCAACAUGUCAGAGGGAUCCAGCCAUAUGCUGAGGAGGUGCCAGAGAAGGUCUCCUUAAUGCCUUGAAGAGACAAAGCAGCCCGCACGGGAGCGUCUGGAGAAGGUGCUGUGCAGGCCUCAUUUGGAGAUGGAUGUGAGGCACAGCCCACAGCUCAAGGUCUACAAAACCAGCUCUGUGAAGGAAGCGAGGGCCUGACCUCUGAGGAGCCUGGGGCUGAGACUGGAUCCAGUUGCACCUAGGCUCCUCUCUGGGAAGGAGUUAAGAAAGCAAGGGGGUCCAGCCCGAACCUUGGGGCACCGCAGGAGGUCCAGACACUUUGGAGGGAUGAAGCAGCCCCCAGGGGAGCAUAUAGACAAGGUGCCGCACCCAGGUUACGCUGUAAGGAGCCACCUCCAAGAUAGAAGCGUGAGGAUCUGACCUCUGAGGAGCCCAAGGCUAGGACCGGAUCCAGCAGCACAUAGGGCCCCUUUCUGAGAAGGAGUUUGGAAACCAAGGGAGUCCGGUCUGAACCUCAUGGCUCAGCAGGAGGCUCAGGCUUCUCCUCAACAUGUCAGAGGGAUCCAGCCAUAUGCUGAAGAGGUACCAGAGAAGGUCUCCUUAAUGCUUCGGAGAGACAAAGCAGCCCGCACAGGAGCGUCUGGAGAAGGUGAGUCGGUUGCGGGCCAGGUUUGCAGUAUCUUAUCGGCACUCAGUUAUGCAUUUCCCUUUUGGUUUUGCAGGUGCCGCGCAGGCCACAUUUUGAAUCGGAUGAGCAUUUGAGGUGCCGCACCCAGGUCACGUCGUAAAGAGCCACCUUCGGGACAGAAGCGUGAGGAUCCAACCUUUGAGGAGUCCGAGGCUAGGAACGGGUGUAGCAGCACCUCGAGCCCCUCUCUGAGAAGGAGUUAGAAAGCAAGGGGCUCUAUUCUGAGCCUCAAAGCUACAGAGGUUCAGGUGCUUCUUUAACACUUGAUGCUUGAGAAGGGACCAGCCUGUUUGCUAAGGAGGAGGUGAGGUAGUUGUAGUCUGGGCCAGUAAAUUGGAGACAAAGAUGUAUGCGAUUUUGUGUAACGAUGUGUAACUCGUACGCAUGUACGUUCACUUAUUUCCUUUGCACAGUUUGUAUAAUUGUAAUGUAUUUGCUGUGACAGUCGUUCCUCAUAGCGGCAAAUAAUCGGCGGCGUCUCGGACUCGUCAUUGUCCUCUGCGGCGUUGUUUGACCACCCACGUAUAGCCUGUGAGUUGUUGUAGUCGAGUGGUAAGAGGUGCUUUGCAUUUGAUUAACCGUUGUAUUGGACUCAUCGGAAACCCUUUGAGUCAGUGAUGUACUAGAUUUGACUGAACUGUCCUUUACCAUGUAUCGUAUAAGAUGUUGUACUAAAGCCUUGUAUGUGAUUGUAUAUUGUAGCAGACAGAGUGUUGCAUUUUGUGCCUGUGUACGGUAUCGGAACAGGUUGUUGCAUAUCGUUACCACACACUCGAACUACGUUUGAAUCGGACCGCGUAUCAUAUCACGGAAUCGAGUAGCCUAACGGAUUUGAGUCAGUAUCGCAUUCCAUCUUCGGUCAAAUCAUAAUCGCAUUUCAAUCUCUACAACCUGCCAUAGUCGCAUAGUAUGAGACUCGGUGCCACGUUUGACCCGGUAGCGGUGUGUUGUAUGCGAAUCGGUGGUGUAAUAGACUCCGUCACACGGUACGUAGCAGUGUUUUGUAUAAGACUUCGGUGCCGUCUCGCAUUACAUCCGGUUUUGUAAUGCCGAUCGAACAUUUAUCGUAUCGGACCCGUUAGCGCUGCGACGGAUGGGACCGGGUAUCGUAAUAGUCUUUGUAUUAGCGAAUCGCACGGGAACGUUCAGGUUAGAUUCGUUGCGGUCGGUUCAGCCGUUACCGGGUGCCGUAUUUGACUUUGCGUUCUCACACGAGCAUUUUCUGCGUGUAGUACGGGAGCCGUUCACAUUGCAUUGCAUUUGCUUUGUUGUGGCAGUAUUUUAUUGUUAUUUUGCAGUAUCUUAAAAUGAAUGUUAUGACAAUUUGUGUUUCUACACUGUAUCACUUCAUUGUUUUCAAUCAUGUAGCGUAUGAGAGUCUGUAUUACCGUAUUGCACGUGAUGUGUUCUAUUAGACCUGUUGCGUUCGGAGGGUGCGGGGCUCAUCGUACCUAACCCACAGUCACAUAACUAUAUCUCGCAUCUUCGCUACGCAUCACCUUCGGCUCGUUUACGGGGGAUCGUCCGAGACUCGGCAUCACGUCGGACCCAUCGUCGCCUCACGUUCGACGUGGCGUCGUAUCGGACGGAGCGCCGCGCAUCGCUACGCAUCGUACGGGAGUCAUCGGUGUCACCUCGUAGUUGUCAGUGCCAUAACGGGCUCAAUAGUUGUAUUUUACCCUGUAUCGUUUAAGACUCGGUGUUUAAUGCAUUGUGUAUUAGAUGUUAUCAUUGCCUCUUGUUUGACCAUUUAGCGUGUCACAAGUCCAAGGGUGUUGUAUCGGGCCUGUUAUAGUAGCAUUAGUUUUUACCAUGUCUAGUAUUAGGUCUGAUACAUGCCAAUGUUUUUUGACCAUAUACUGUGUAAGAAUCUGUGUUUUUGUA